UAGUAGGCCUCCUGCUUAAAGCAUUUGAUACAUAAGUAUCUCUUCCUAGCUCCACCAUAGUAAGACAGGGAUGCUUGGUUUCAAACAU
rnacentral:snoRNA from 1 species